rnacentral:rRNA from 1 species
UGGGGAAUCUUGCGCAAUGGACGACAGUCUGACGCAGCGACGCCGCGUGGGGGAAGAAGGCUUUCGGGUUGUAAACCCCUUUCAGGAAGGACGAAGCCACUCAGGUUAAUAGCCGAGAGGGUGACGGUACUUUCAGAAGAAGCCCCGGCUAACUACGUGCCAGCAGCCGCGGUAAUACGUAGGGGGCAAGCGUUGUCCGGAUUUAUUGGGCGUAAAGAGCGUGUAGGCGGUCGUGUAGGUCCGUUGUGAAAACUCGAGGCUCAACCUCGAGACGCCGAUGGAAACCAUGCGACUAGAGUCCGGAAGAGGAGACUGGAAUUCCUGGUGUAGCGGUGAAAUGCGCAGAUAUCAGGAAGAACACCCGUGGCUAAGGCGGGUCUCUAGUACGGUACUGACGCUGAGACGCGAAAGCGUGGGGAGCGAACAGGAUUAGAUACCCCCGUAGUCC